AAGAAAUAUAGGAAGUAAUUAUUUAGGAAUUUUUACUGAUUGGGGAUUCCUAAUUAGUGUUUGCUUUGUAUUUUUCUUAUUUAGGGUUCCAAAUCCUAACACUAAUAGGAUAAAUAAUUCUACUAUAAAUACCUUAGUUCUCUAGGUAUUUUGGUGGACUUUUUCUAUGAUUGAUGAUUAAUUUGAAAAUUAAUAAAUCUGAGAAUUUAUUUCUCUUGAGAAUUGGUUUCUUAUACUCUAUUGGUUUCAUGUUAGACUCCUUUGACUAUUUCCAGGGCACAGAAUUUGUCAUUAACGUGAACUCCUACUGUUUGGUUGGUUUUCUCUUGCUAGUUUCUAGUUAAUAAUUCAGUCCAAUCCAAAGAAAAUAAGCAUACAAAAUGCCUUCUUUUGAAAAUAUAUUUAGUGAUAGAUGUAGCACAUACCUAGACUGAAAAAUAAUAUGGUUUUGCAAAAUAUCUUCAUCUAACAUAAAGAGCUAAUAAAUCACACAGUAGGAAAUAAAUUGAAACAUAACAUGGGACACAAACCUUUAUCAAAGGAACAAGAGGAA
rnacentral:misc_RNA from 1 species